rnacentral:rRNA from 1 species
AUUGAACGCUGGCGGAAUGCUUUACACAUGCAAGUCGAACGGCAGCACGGACUUCGGUCUGGUGGCGAGUGGCGAACGGGUGAGUAAUGUAUCGGAACGUGCCCAGUCGUGGGGGAUAACGUAGUGAAAAUUACGCUAAUACCGCAUACGAUCUAUGGAUGAGAGCGGGGGAUCGCAAGACCUCGCGCGAUUGGAGCGGCCGAUAUCAGAUUAGGUAGUUGGUGGGGUAAAGGCCCACCAAGCCAACGAUCUGUAGCUGGUCUGAGAGGACGACCCGCCACACUGGAACUGAGACACGGUCCAGACUCCUACGGGAGGCAGCAGUGGGGAAUUUUGGACAAUGGGCGAAAGCCUGAUUCAGCCAUUCCGCGUGCAGGAUGAAGGCCCUCGGGUUGUAAACUGCUUUUGUACAGAACGAAAAGGUUUCUACUAAUACUAGGAGCUCAUGACGGUACUGUAAGAAUAAGCACCGGCUAACUACGUGCCAGCCGCCGCGGUAA